AGCAGCCGCGGUAAUUCCAGCUCCAAUAGCGUAUAUUAAAGUUGUUGCAGUUAAAAAGCUCGUAGUUGAAUUUCGGGAUUGACGUGACGGUCGUGCCUUAAGGGGUAUGAACUGUCGCCGUUGAUUUCUCACCUUCUGGAGAAGCUCGAUGUCCUUAAUUGGAUGUCUUGUGGAACCAGGACCUUUACCUUGAAAAAUUAGAGUGUUUAAAGCAGGCAUUUUGCUCGAAUACAUUAGCAUGGAAUAAUAGAAUAGGACGGCAUGGUUCUAUUUUGUUGGUUUCUAGGAUCACCGUAAUGAUUAAUAGGGAUAGUUGGGGGCAUUAGUAUUCAAUUGUCAGAGGUGAAAUUCUUGGAUUUAUUGAAGACUAACUACUGCGAAAGCAUUUGCCAAGGAUGUUUUCAUUAAUCAAGAACGAAAGUUAGGGGAUCGAAGACGAUCAGAUACCGUCGUAGUCUUAACCAUAAACUAUGCCGACUAGGAAUCAGACGAUGUUAAUUUUUAAUGUACUCGUUUGGCU
rnacentral:rRNA from 1 species